CGCCGCCAUGUGGGAGCUUCGGCCGCUCCUCCUCGGCCUCGAGGUCGGCGGCUGCGGAGCGCCUCGGUUCCGAAGCGCGGUCUGAAAGGGCUCCCCAGGCGGCGGCUGUGCCGUUAUAGGAAGAAAGUGAGCAUGGAGUGUGUUAUCCCGAGCACCACUGCGAUGCUGGGCUGAGGAGUUCGUGAGGCUUCGUUCUUCCAGGUAUCACCUCUAACAGGAAAUACUGCCAGAAAAAUGCUUCCAAACUGUACUCCUCAGGAGGACCGUUAGUGAACUGAUUACUGAAAAUGAAGUAAAUGGAGCUACAUUUACUGAAGACUCAAGUGAAACUCCAUGGAAAUUCUCCAAGGAUCGUUACUUUGUCAUGCUCAUUAGAACUUGAGAUGAAACCUAUUGAGGUGCCUUAACAUCAUCUCCGAACACCAGGUGCUUUGGCAUUUCAGAUGUCACAUGGGUCAGGACAAAAUAGCAUUUCUAAUUGUCAGCUACAGAAUUGGACACAAAACUGUGAGAGGAGGAGGGAAAUCCCCGUAGAGAGAAUUCAAGGUUAUCACUCUGCUUCUGACAGAAUUGAAAAGCUAACUGACUGACAUGAAAGACCCAGCUUCUUCUACAGUAAUGUUCUGUAAUGGAAAGGCACUGAAGUCGUUCUGCCUUUUGUCCCAGAUCUCUCAUCUCUCAUGUAUUCUUUUCUUUCUCUGUCACAAGGUGGGUACGUUACGUUCUGUUCUGUGAAUUCUAGCUCUGAAUCCAAGUGUGUAUCUCAG
ensembl:lncRNA